UGUGAUCGACCUCCUUUGCCGCACCACCAGUAUUGGAGUACCAAGUCCAAUGAUGCGGCUCCGGGCGUUGGAACCAGGAUCAGAUAGACACCAUCAUAAGGAGCCGAUCCACUAUGGAAACAGCUACUCCCUGAGUAUGGUAGCCAUCAGACCGACCAGACCAAAAUUGGAGGACAAUUUCAGAUGGAGUUUUUUCAAGUCACAAAUCAUCAAAUGAAUGAAUCAAGACCGAGUAAAAAUGACAAAACGAGUGUCCAUCGUAAAUCCACAUGCAUGGUGGCAGGAGAGAUGUGACGCCAUGCGGCACACGUGGCGUUCCAGUUCCAUGUGUGGAGUAGCAUGUCGCUUAACCCACCCACCCACACAAAACCACUAGCCACAAAGCCCCCCACCCCCGAACUAGCAGAUCGCAUUGUGUGGUGUAAGACUUCAGUGGCGGUUUUAUGUCCCCUCGUUCGAGGAGCAUGUGAGGCAGAUCAGAUGAGUGUGAUGUGGGUCUCGCCCAGCUUCUCCUCCUCCUACUCACCGUGUGGUAUUUCCAAUAGUUCUGGAAAGAAUAUGAAUGCAUGUGUUGCUAUCAGAUGGUCCUUGCUGUAAACCUGGUUCUAAGUUUGUGCAAUUGCUCUGUGUUUCCUCGUAUUUAAUUAUACUCUUCAUUUGGUUCUUGUAUUGCUUUCCUGUCUUUGUUUAGACCCCUCAUGGUCUGUUUGUUUUCCGAGUGUUUGAGUUUUUAAUAAAGUUCCCAGUGUUUGUAAGCCACAUAGUGGACCUCUAUUAUCCAUGCCUGGAUGUGACAUAGAUUUUGAAACUUAAUUGUUUUUUUAAAUGCAGAUAAUCUUUAAGUUAUAUUUUAUUAAUAUUAUUUUUUAUUUUAAACAAUAAAUGUGGUUUGGUAUGGAAUAUUACAGAAUUUCCUCAUGUGACAAUGUGACUCAUUUCUACAUACCUCUAAUGUGUCAGUUGGUUGCCUUUUUGUUGGUACUUUAUAUUGUCAUAUUGCUGUGCUGUGAGUACCUCUGUGAUUGAUAUAUAUUCACUUGUGAUUUGGACUUACUUGCUUUUAAGUUAGCUUGCAAGUGAGCUAAUGACUCUUAGUGUCUAUGUAAUGUACUCACCACAGAACUUCACUACAUAAGGCAGAUUUUUGUGGGUACUUUUGAGUCCUGUGGCCCA